UACGUAGGGGGCGAGCGUUAUCCGGAAUUACUGGGCGUAAAGCGCACGCAGGCGGUUCGCCAAGUUUGGAGUGACAGUUGUCGGCUCAACCGACAAAGGACUUCAAAAACUGGUGAACUUGAGGACGAGAGAGGAACAUGGAACUCCAGGUGUAGUAGUGAAAUGCGUAGAUAUCUGGGAGAACACCAAUGGCGAAGGCAAUGUUCUGGCUCGUUUCUGACGCUCAGGUGCGAAAGCCAGGGGAGCGAACGGG
rnacentral:rRNA from 1 species